rnacentral:rRNA from 1 species
UACGUAGGGACCAAGCGUUGUCCGGAAUCAUUGGGCGGAAAGCGCGCGUAGGUGGCUUCGUAAGUCCGUUGUGAAAGUCAAAGGCUCAACCUUUGAAAGCCGAUGGAUACUGCGGAGCUAGAGUACGGAAGAGGCGAGUGGAAUUCCUGGUGUAGCGGUGGAAUGCGCAGAUAUCAGGAGGAACACCAAUAGCGAAGGCAGCUCGGUGGGCCGUUACUGACACUGAGGCGCGAAAGCGUGGGGAGCGAACAGG